ACACACCUGACUGCAGCACUUUAUAUAUUCACAUUUCUCAUGCAUUCCUCAAUACUCACAACUCCUCACACCACAUUUUCAUCAACAUGGAACUGCUUACUUUCCACUCCUUUUAUACCCAGCACAUGGCACCUCCAUCCCCACCCAACAUACACACACACACUUCACUGCCAACCAACCACUAUACCCAGCCUAAAACACACAUACUCACUCCACUGCCAUCACUGUUCAAUUUCGAAUAUUUUUGGAAACGAAUAUAUAGCGUUUUGGAAAAGAGCUUUUUAAAUUUUAAUGAUCUUCUUUGGCUUAAUUUUUCCAGAUUCCUGCUUGCCCAGUAACUCUGAUUGACUUCUCUUCAGCAAAGUCAAAAAAACGAAAGCUUGAGUGUUCCAUUGAUGGCUGCACAAGUACACAAAAGGUUGGGAAAUCACUUCCAUGCCCAAGAGUGCAGAGAGAUUCAGAGACAUACUGUAGGUUUUUUGAGAGUUUAAGUAAAAACUGUCCAAGGAGUGCAGCACUGAUGUCUAGGGAACCUUACCACAAAGAAUUUGUCCCCCAGUCUAGCAUGCUUCCUAAAACUGUGCCUGAGUACAGAACACCAGAGACACUGCAGCUCCCCCCCAAAGACCUUGAAGAGCUAUGCCUGGACUUCCAGCUUGAAGAGCUCACCCUGUCCCAAGUCCAGGCUGUAGAGAGGGCGACUCGAAGUCAGAGUGCAAGCAGUAUUUGGUUUAGGCAAAGAGCUGGACGCGUAACUGCCUCUAAGCUGAAACAAGUUCUUAAGACCAACCCCCAGCAACCAUCAAAGAGCUUGAUCAAGGCCAUAUGCUAUCCAGAGGCAUAUAGGUUCACCACAGCUGCUACAAGUUAAGGAUGCAAACAUGAAGCACAAGCCAGAGGAGCAUAUGAGAAGCUUAUGAGCCAGGAGCAUGCAGGCUUCUCAUGUAUGGACAGCGGUCUCUGGCUGAACCCCAAGUGGCCAUACAUGGGGUCCUCCCUGAUGGGAUAGUCACUUGUGACUGUCAUGGAACUGGCAUCUGCGAGAUUAAGUGCCCACACUCUCAGAAAGAUGCGGUCAACCUGCGCAUGCGUGCUGGGGAGAAGGGCUUCUGCCUCAUCAGUGACGGGAUAAUGUCACACUGGACCCAACUCAUGACUACUAUUACCAAAUUCAGGCACAGCUUCACAUUGCAAAUGCAGAGUACUGUGACUUUGUUGUGUGGAACCGCAAUGACAUAUUUGUUGAAAGGAUUUUGCCUGACCUUGAGUUUUGGGAUGAUGCGAUUCCUAAAGUUGAGUGUUUUUUAGAAACAGUAUACUCCCAGAAAUACUGGGACAGCAAGUUACAAACAUACAUGUGUAAUGUGAUAAAAGGACGACAACAUAAUGACAUUUUGAAUAUUGUUAUGACCUGAUGGUAGUCAUUAUGAGUUCUGGCUAUUGUAUUUGCUCUGACGUAGCAUUAGAGCACAAAUUGUCAUUUAAUUUUAUUGUACAUUUAAUUGUGUCAUUUAAGUGUUGUGUAACACUACACAAUGAUUAAAUGCUAUUGAGGCAGCAUAAUAAUACAUUGGUGGUUUAUUUACAAGAUUAGACUUUUAAACAAAUAAACAAAAUAGAUUGCAAUCCAUCUCACAGUAUAAUACUGUACAAACUGCCAGCACAAUAUGACAGUUGGAGAAAAAUAUUUCAUUUGAAAACAUUUACAGACUAAUCAGGAGUCAGGACUUAGGUACUACUAUUACUCUACCCUGUUCUACUUAUCACCAGAGCCAAGCAGCAGAUACUGGACACUACUCUUCCUCUC